rnacentral:rRNA from 1 species
CUACGGGGGGCUCCAGUGGGGAAUAUUGCACAAUGAGCGAAAGCUUGAUGCAGCCAUACCGCGUGUGUGAAGAAGGCCCGAGGGUUGUAAAGCACUUUCAAUUGUGAGGAAGGUUCAGUAGUUAAUACCUGCUGUUCUUGACGUUAACUUUAGAAGAAGCACCGGCUAACUCUGUGCCAGCAGCCGCGGUAAUAGAGAGGGUGCAAGCGUUAUUCGGAAUUACUGGGCGUAAAGCGCGCGUAGGCGGACUAUUAAGUCAGUUGUGAAAGCCCUGGGCUCAACCUGGGAACUGCAUCUGAUACUGGUAGUCUAGAGUUUAAGAGAGGGAAGUGGAAUUCCAGGUGUAGCAGUGAAAUGCGUAGAUAUCUGGAGGAACAUCAGUGGCGAAGGCGACUUCCUGGCUUAAAACUGACGCUGAGGUGCGAAAGCGUGGGUAGCGAACGGGAUUAGAUACCCUGGUAGUC